CCCUUGGUCAAGCGGUUAAGACACCGCCCUUUCACGGCGGUAAGCUAUCGGCUGUUAACCGAUCGGUCGUAGGUUCGAGUCCUACCUGUGGAGCCA
rnacentral:tRNA from 1 species